UGGAGAACCAUUCUUUCACUCUUUUGUUUUCCCCCUUCUAAUCUCUUCUACUUUUCAAACUCAAUUCUUUUCUUUUAUAUUGAUUUAUAGGGUAAAGUGAAAUGGAGCAGAGGUUGGCUAAUUCUUUGCAUUUGACAAUAAAUGAAAAGACGUUCAUGGAAACGGCACUACUACUUUUGGAGCUUCGAGUGGAUGGUCGCGGUCCCUUCGACUACCAGAGGAUGGUUCAUCUGAGGUGCAACUAGGGCACACCCAUGUGAUGGCUUUUGUAACAUCUCUGCUAGUUCAGCCUUACAGAUGCCGGCCUAAUGAAGGCACAGUUUCAAUGUACACAGAGUUCUCUCCCACAGAGGAUCCUUCAUAUGAGCAAGGUCGUGCUGGAGAGUCUGCAGUUGAGUUAGGGCGAAUUAUGGACCGCGGUUUAAGGUGAUUUUGGUUUUCUUAGUUUCUCACCUUUUGUGGUUCAAAAUAUCAAGUGUAGUCUCAUUUGCAAAUUCUAAGGACUAAUUAAUUUGUUUUAGAUGGUAGUCUUGUGAGUGAAUAAGAUGGCGUUUUGUUUUAUUUUUGUUGGCGUGGAAAUUUAUGUGGAGAAAUAAACUCAGCUUCUCUGUACAUUAAAAAUCUUUGUCUGUUCUGCUUAUUGUUUACAAAUUUAUCUGGAGAUUCAAUGUGAAUGUGCUGGGAAAGCAGACCUGUAGACACAGAAUCAUUGCGUGUUCCAUUUGGGAAGCUGGUAUGGGCCAUCCGAAUUGACAUCCAUGUAUUAGACAAUGGAGGAAACCUUGUUGAUGCUGCCAACAUUGCUGCUUUGGCUGCUCUCUUGACAUUUCAGAGGCCUGAAUGCAUAUUACGAGGAGAGGAUGGUUCCAUUGUUGUUUAUCCAAUGAAGCUGGAAACUCAUCUGAUUUGGCUCUCUGAAGUAUAUUUUGUAUAAAUCUUAACAAAUCUCUUUGGUUAGGGAGCCACUUUCUUUGAUUAUACAUCAUCUUCCUAUUGCUGUGACCUUUGGGCUAUUCAUUGAUGAGAAUAUUAUGUGAUAGACCCAACUCACCAUGAAGAGUCUGUAAUGACUGGGCGAAUGACUGCCACACUGAAUGCUAAUGGUGAUGUUUGUGCUGUUCGAAAGGCUGGAGGAGAAGAAAUCUUUCAGCCGGUGAUCAUGCAUUGUUUGCAACUUGCUCAUGUGAAAGCUGGUGAUAUUACAUACAAGAUAAACAAUGCUGUAUGUUUUCCCGCCAAAAGAAAAAGAAAUGCUGUUGGUUCAUACAACAUAAAAAGGAUCCUUCAGAAGAUUAAGCGUCACUCCACUGAUGCCUUAGAUUGUUUGUAAUGUGCUCCUCAGAACACAACUUUGUGAUGGAUGCAUUCUUGAACGCCGGAUCUAACAAAACCGAAUGGAGCACCACGCCAUGUGGAACCCAUGGAAUAAGAAAACAACCAUUGGCAGCAUAAGCGGAUGCUUGUGCUGAUGGGACAGUGAUUGAGAAGCUUCUCACUUUGAAGCUGGGUGGCGAGGAAUAAGACCUUUGAAAUACCUAUCUUCGUUCGUCUCCUGAUUGGACAAGGACGGGGAAUAAAAUGUACACAUAUCAGAGCCUGAUUUUGAUCCAGAGACCCAUAGGUCAUGGGCCCACCAUGCUUCCGACGUGCCACUCUAAUUGUUGUGAUACUUAGUUGCAAUUCUAUAUUAAAUCUUUUUUUUUUACCUCAGAUUAAAUUUAGAGAGAAUAACAAUAAAAUACUUAUGAAACAUCCAAAUGAA